GAUGAAGUACGGCUCCGCGGCGACAGC
rnacentral:sRNA from 1 species